rnacentral:rRNA from 1 species
GAAAAGAAACUAACAAGGAUUCCCCUAGUAGCGGCGAGCGAAGCGGGAAAAGCUCAAAUUUGUAAUCUGGCGUCUACGACGUCCGAGUUGUAAUCUCGAGAAGUGUUUUCCGUGAUAGACCGCAUACAAGUCUCUUGGAACAGAGCGUCAUAGUGGUGAGAACCCAGUACACGAUGCGGAUGCCUAUUACUUUGUGAUACACUUUCGAAGAGUCGAGUUGUUUGGGAAUGCAGCUCAAAUUGGGUGGUAAAUUCCAUCUAAAGCUAAAUAUUGGCGAGAGACCGAUAGCGAACAAGUACCGUGAGGGAAAGAUGAAAAGCACUUUGGAAAGAGAGUUAACAGUACGUGAAAUUGUUGGAAGGGAAACACAUGCAGCCAGACUUGCUAUUCGGGGCAACUCGAUUGGCAGGCCCGCAUCAGUUUUUCGGGGCGGAAAAGCAUAGAGAGAAGGUAGCAAUUUCGGUUGUGUUAUAGCUCUUUAUUGGAUUCGCCCUGGGGGACUGAGGAACGCAGCGUGCUUUUAGCAUAAGCUUCGGCUUAUCCACGCUUAGGAUGCGGGUGUAAUGGCUGUAUAUGACCCGUCUUGAU